rnacentral:tRNA from 1 species
GAGAGAUGGCUGAGUGGUUGAAUAGCCCCGGUCUUAAAAACCGG